AAACCCAAAAGUUAUUGCCAUGAGAGUGUGAGUGCUGAAGCUUUGAAUCUUUGAGCCAAAAGAAGUUAUAAUAAAAACACACAGAAACAGCACACACACUUAUUGUUUAGUUUCUAAGCAACCAUGGCUUCUUCCACCUUAUGUUACAACUCUCUUAACGCUUUCUCAAGAACCACUCAAUUCUCAGUUCCAAUAAACAAAGACCUUCUUUUUCCACCAGAAACCUCACCUUCUCUCCCAACAAGAACAAGGAAACUUAACAAGAACAAAACGGUUCGUUUCACAGUUAAGGCCGCUACUACGUCGACUCCUACUCAAGCGAACGAAACGGCGUCGUAUGGAGGCUAUGGCUCUCAGAGGAGGAAACAGGUUCGGGUUCUCGUGGCGGGCGGAGGAAUCGGUGGAUUGGUUUUUGCUUUGGCUGCAAAGAGAAAAGGCUUCGAGGUAAUGGUGUUUGAGAAAGAUUUGAGUGCUGUGAGAGGAGAGGGGCAGUAUAGGGGUCCAAUUCAGAUUCAGAGUAACGCUUUGGCUGCUUUGGAAGCCAUUGAUUCCGAUGUCGCUGAAGAAGUUAUGAGAGUUGGUUGCGUCACCGGUGAUAGGAUUAACGGCCUCGUCGACGGAGUUUCUGGCUCUUGGUACGUCAAAUUCGAUACAUUCACUCCUGCAGUGGAACGUGGACUUCCAGUCACAAGGGUUAUUAGUCGAAUGACCUUACAGCAGAUUCUUGCCCGCGCAGUUGGGGAAGAUGUCAUUAUGAAUGAAAGUAAUGUUGUUAAUUUUGUGGAUGAUGGAAGCAAGGUAACAGUAGAGCUAGAGAAUGGUCAGAAAUACGAAGGAGAUCUCUUGGUUGGAGCAGAUGGGAUAUGGUCCAAGGUGAGGAAGCAAUUAUUUGGGCCAAAAGAAGCUGUUUACUCUGGCUAUACAUGUUAUACUGGUAUUGCAGAUUUCGUCCCUGCUGACAUCGAAUCUGUUGGGUACCGAGUAUUCUUGGGACACAAACAAUACUUUGUAUCUUCGGAUGUUGGUGCUGGAAAGAUGCAAUGGUAUGCCUUUCACAAAGAGCCACCUGGUGGCGUUGAUAGUCCCAAUGGAAAGAAGGAAAGGUUGCUAAAGAUCUUUGAGGGUUGGUGUGACAAUGCAUUAGAUCUGAUACUGGCCACAGAAGAAGAGGCAAUUCUGCGACGAGACAUAUACGACAGGAUACCAACGUUAACAUGGGGAAAGGGUCGAGUUACUUUGCUUGGUGAUUCCGUCCAUGCUAUGCAGCCAAAUAUGGGCCAAGGAGGAUGCAUGGCUAUUGAGGACAGUUAUCAACUAGCAUGGGAGUUGGAGAAUGCAUGGGAGCAAAGUGUAAAAUCAGGGUCUCCAAUUGAUAUUGAUUCUUCCCUAAGGAGCUAUGAGAGAGAAAGAAGAUUUCGAGUUGCCAUUAUUCACGGAAUGGCAAGAAUGGCUGCUUUGAUGGCUUCCACCUACAAGGCAUAUUUGGGUGUUGGUCUUGGUCCUUUAGAGUUCUUGACCAAGUUCCGGAUACCACAUCCUGGAAGGGUUGGAGGAAGAUUUUUCGUCGACAUCAUGAUGCCUACUAUGUUGAGCUGGGUCUUAGGGGGCAACAGCUCUAAACUUGAAGGGAGACCAUUAAGCUGUAGGCUUUCAGACAAAGUACGUUGCUCAAAUUUUACUUUUGUACUUUUGCUGCUCAGAAGAUUUUUUAUCUGGCAAAUGACCAAUUACGGCAAUGGUUUGAAGAUGAUGAUGCGCUUGAGCGUGCUAUUAACGGAGAGUGGAUUUUGUUACCAUGUGGAGAUGAAACAGGUCUUUCAAAACCUAUACGUUUGAAUCAAGAUGAGAUGAAGCCGUGUAUAAUCGGGAGUGCACCACCAGAAGAAUCUCUAGGUUGUUCGGUUACAAUACCUUCACCACAGGUUUCCGAAAUCCAUGCUCGAAUUAACUAUAAGGAUGGCCUAUUCUUUUUGACUGAUUUGCGGAGUGAACAUGGCACCUGGAUAACAGACAUCGAGGGAAAGCGAUAUCGGGUACCUCCAAAUUAUCCUGCACGUGUCCACCCGACUAAUGUUAUUGAAUUUGGUUCUACUAAGGCUUCGUUCCGCAUUAAGGUGACUAGAUCAGUACCAAGAAUAUCUGAGAAGAAAGGAGAACAAAUUCUCAUGAAAGUGUGAAUGGCUGUGUUUAGGUAAAUAUUUGUAAGUCAAAGAAAAUGUUAUACAGCCAAAUACUUAGAAUUGUAUAGCUUCUGUAUGCACUCUUUUUAGAAUAGAGAGUAUUUUGCAACGGCACCAAAUUGUUCAAUAAUUCUUAGGUAGUCGUUGGUUGUUGCCUCCCAUAGGCACUUCGUUCAACACUUUGAUAUGUAAAAAGACAGUAUUUUUAGAGAUUCAUAUUCUUAUAAUUUUG